UCCAGACUCCUACGGGAGGCAGCAGUGGGGAAUAUUGCACAAUGGGGGAAACCCUGAUGCAGCGACGCCGCGUGAAGGAUGAAGUAUUUCGGUAUGUAAACUUCUAUCAGCAGGGAAGAAAAUGACGGUACCUGACUAAGAAGCCCCGGCUAACUACGUGCCAGCAGCCGCGGUAAUACGUAGGGGGCAAGCGUUAUCCGGAUUUACUGGGUGUAAAGGGAGCGUAGACGGCAUGGCAAGUCAGAUGUGAAAGCCUUGGGCUUAACCCGAGGAUUGCAUUUGGAACUAUCAAGCUAGAGUACAGGAGAGGAAAGCGGAAUUCCUAGUGUAGCGGUGAAAUGCGUAGAUAUCAGGAGGAACACCGGUGGCGAAGGCGGCCUGCUGGACUGCGACUGACGUUGAGGCCCGAAAGCGUGGGGAGCAAACAGGAUUAGAUACCCGCGUAAU
rnacentral:rRNA from 1 species